rnacentral:rRNA from 1 species
CAGUAGCCACGGUAAUACGUAGGUGGCAAGCGUUGUCCGGAAUUAUUGGGCGUAAAGGGCUCGCAGGCGGUUUCUUAAGUCUGAUGUGAAAGCCCCCGGCUCAACCGGGGAGGGUCAUUGGAAACUGGGAAACUUGAGUGCAGAAGAGGAGAGUGGAAUUCCACGUGUAGCGGUGAAAUGUGUAGAGAUGUGGAGGAACACCAGUGGCGAAGGCGACUCUCUGGUCUGUAACUGACGCUGAGGAGCGAAAGCGUGGGGAGCGAACAGGAUUAGAUACCCGCGUAGUCCCUGUCUCUUAUAA